rnacentral:rRNA from 1 species
CCAUGGAAGCUGGGGGUACCGAAGUCGGUGACCGCAAGGAGCUGCCUAGGGUAAAACUGGUAACUAGGGCUAAGUCGUAACAAGGUAGCCGUACCGGAAGG